rnacentral:rRNA from 1 species
UGGGGAAUUUUCCGCAAUGGGCGAAAGCCUGACGGAGCAAGACCGCGUGAGGGAGGAAGGCCCUUGGGUUGUAAACCUCUUUUCUCAGGGAAGAAGAAAGUGACGGUACCUGAGGAAUCAGCCUCGGCUAACUCCGUGCCAGCAGCCGCGGUAAUACGGAGGGUCCAAGCGUUGUCCGAAAUUACUGGGUGUAAAGGGUGUGCAGGCGGAGCGGAAAGUCAGAGGUGAAAGCCCGCAGCUCAACUGCGGAAUGGCCUUUGAUACUACCGUUCUUGAGUCCUGGAGAAGCUGCCGGAAUUCGUGGUGUAGCGGUGAAAUGCGUAGAUAUCACGAGGAACACCAGAAGCGUAAGCGGGCAGCUGGACAGUGACUGACGCUCAGGCACGAAAGCGUGGGGAGCAAACAGGAUUAGAUACCCCCGUAGUCC